GGUCAUGUUCAUCCCGGAAGAGCGGAGGCAGAUUGUGUUAUUUGCACAAGGUUUCCCAAUCUCUCCUGAAGCUUAUCCUUUUUGAUAGAAUCGAUCAAUUAGCCCGUCUCAAGGUCUUCCCAGAUAUGCGGCCUUGUUGGAACAAAUGGAGUUGGAAAAUCCACAUCACUUAAAGUCUUAGCUGGCAAGCUGAAACCUCAUAAUCCGGCAAGAGAUCAUCACAUACUUCUAGGGUUCUGAGCUUCAGAAUUAUUUUACAUGUAUAUUGGAGGACCUGAAGAGCUGUUUAAUCCAGCAAUGAAACGCAGGUCAUCGCCCAUUCUACUCGCAACAUCGGCACAAACUGCCGCUGCUGACCAUCAUUAUUCGGUCGUAAUCCCGGCGUCCUCCUCCUGUUGUGCCCUUGGCUUAUUGCCUCGAGGUGCCACCCAAAUGCGCGUGGCUGCAAAAGUGUUUCAUCAUGGUCAGCCGCAGGUAGAUGACAACAAGCUGCAGAACAAUGAGCAGCUCGACAGAGGAGUACCGACGCAACGCUCGCCAUAGGGAAUUGGGAAGGUACAGAGUUGGGCUCCCCUGAUCACUAUAUUUAUUGGGAAGCUUGGUACAAGACAAUCUUAGUUUGGGCUAUGAUGCA